AGUGAACGCUGGCGGUAGGCCUAACACAUGCAAGUCGAACGGCAGCACAGUAAGAGCUUGCUCUUACGGGUGGCGAGUGGCGGACGGGUGAGGAAUACAUCGGAAUCUACUUUUUCGUGGGGGAUAACGUAGGGAAACUUACGCUAAUACCGCAUACGACCUACGGGUGAAAGCAGGGGAUCUUCGGACCUUGCGCGGUUGAAUGAGCCGAUGUCGGAUUAGCUAGUUGGCGGGGUAAAGGCCCACCAAGGCGACGAUCCGUAGCUGGUCUGAGAGGAGGAUCAGCCACACUGGAACUGAGACACGGUCCAGACUCCUACGGGAGGCAGCAGUGGGGAAUAUUGGACAAUGGGCGCAAGCCUGAUCCAGCCAUACCGCGUGGGUGAAGAAGGCCUUCGGGUUGUAAAGCCCUUUUGUUGGGAAAGAAAAGCAGCAGGUUAAUACCCCGCUGUUCUGACGGUACCCAAAGAAUAAGCACCGGCUAACUUCGUG
rnacentral:rRNA from 1 species